rnacentral:rRNA from 1 species
AGCGUUAAUCGGAAUUACUGGGCGUAAAGCGCACGCAGGCGGUUUGUUAAGUCAGAUGUGAAAUUCCCGCGCUUAACGUGGGAACUGCAUUUGAAACUGGCAAGCUAGAGUCUUGUAGAGGGGGGUAGAAUUCCAGGUGUAGCGGUGAAAUGCGUAGAGAUCUGGAGGAAUACCGGUGGCGAAGGCGGCCCCCUGGACAAAGACUGACGCUCAGGUGCGAAAGCGUGGGGAGCAAACAGGAUUAGAUACCCUGGUAGUCCACGCUGUAAACGAUGUCGACUUGGAGGUUGUGCCCUUGAGGCGUGGCUUCCGGAGCUAACGCGUUAAGUCGACCGCCUGGGGAGUACGGCCGCAAGGUUAAAACUCAAAUGAAUUGACGGGGGCCCGCACAAGCGGUGGAGCAUGUGGUUUAAUUCGAUGCAACGCGAAGAACCUUACCUACUCUUGACAUCCACGGAAUUCGCCAGAGAUGGCUUAGUGCCUUCGGGAACCGUGAGACAGGUGCUGCAUGGCUGUCGUCAGCUCGUGUUGUGAAAUGUUGGGUUAAGUCCCGCAACGAGCGCAACCCUUAUCCUUUGUUGCCAGCACGUAAUGGUGGGAACUCAAAGGAGACUGCCGGUGAUAAUCCGGAGGAAGGUGGGGAUGACGUCAAGUCAUUAUGGCCCUUACGAGUAGGGCUACACACGUGCUACAAUGGCAUAUACAAAGAGAAGCGAACUCGCGAGAGCAAGCGGACCUCAUAAAGUAUGUCGUAGUCCGGAUUGGAGUCUGCAACUCGACUCCAUGAAGUCGGAAUCGCUAGUAAUCGUAGAUCAGAAUGCUACGGUGAAUACGUUCCCGGGCCUUGUACACACCGCCCGUCACACCAUGGGAGUGGGUUGCAAAAGAAGUAGGUAGCUUAACCUUCGGGAGGGCGCUUACCACUUUGUGAUUCAUGACUGGGGUGAAGUC